GAUGAACGCUGGCGGCGUGCCUAAUACAUGCGAGUCGAGCGAACGGACGAGAAGCUUGCUUCUCUGAUGUUAGCGGCGGACGGGUGAGUAACACGUGGAUAACCUACCUAUAAGACUGGGAUAACUUCGGGAAACCGGAGCUAAUACCGGAUAAUAUUUUGAACCGCAUGGUUCAAAAGUGAAAGACGGUCUUGCUGUCACUUAUAGAUGGAUCCGCGCUGCACUAGCUAGUUGGUAAGGUAACGGCUUACCAAGGCAACGAUGCAUAGCCGACCUGAGAGGGUGAUCGGCCACACUGGAACUGAGACACGGUCCAGACUCCUACGGGAGGCAGCAGUAGGGAAUCUUCCGCAAUGGGCGAAAGCCUGACGGAGCAACGCCGCGUGAGUGAUGAAGGUCUUCGGAUCGUAAAACUCUGUUAUUAGGGAAGAACAUAUGUGUAAGUAACUGUGCACAUCUUGACGGUACCUAAUCAGAAAGCCACGGCUAACUACGUG
rnacentral:rRNA from 1 species